UGCAAUCUAUGAUGCAAUUAUAAUUUAGUUUCUGAGUUCACUUUGAUUAAUUUAACACUAAUCACCAUCUUUCGGCUGAGAUUGCA